rnacentral:rRNA from 1 species
UACGGGGGGAGCAAGCGUUGUUCGGAUUUACUGGGCGUAAAGGGCUCGUAGGCGGCCAACUAAGUCGGACGUGAAAUCCCCAGGCUCAACCUGGGAACUGCGUCUGAUACUGGAUGGCUUGAAUCCGGGAGAGGGAUGCAGAAUUCCAGGUGUAGCGGUGAAAUGCGUAGAUAUCUGGAGGAAUACCGGUGGCGAAGGCGGCAUCCUGGACCGGCAUUGACGCUGAGGAGCGAAAGCCAGGGGAGCAAACGGG